UACAUGAGCUUCUCCCCCACCACCAUUGUCACCAUCCCCAUCACCACUGCAACCGGAGCAGCCUCUACCGCCCCUAUCGCUGCUCAUAUGCGUUUUGUUAUUUUCCUUCAGCUGCUCCCGGCAGAUCCUGUUGCAUUAAUUCGCUGUUUUCGUUCGCCGUGUGACUUGCCAGGCAGAACCGCCGACUCCUCUCUCUUCCCACCGCCCCCCCUCCCAAACACACACACACACACACGCGCACAUUCUCUCCCUGAACUGGCACCAGGGGCUGAGGCACCGUCGCACGCACACAGUGCCGGCGGAUGCAUUCAGCAGCAUCUGCGCGAGCGUGUCGCAGUGCAGACACCCCGGCACGUGACCGUACCUGCCGUGAAAAAACGCAAAACAGAAAACAAUAAACCCGCUCGCCGUCAUGCAAAUGCUGCGACAAGCAUUAGCACCGCUGGAUGUAAACGGAUCCUCGAUCUCGCACGGCACAGCCUCAGCCGCACCGCACAGCAUCAGCGGCGGUGGUGGUAGCUGCACGACCCGCGAUGUGGCUGGCAUCACGGAUGGAGGCGCAGGCGUCUCGAAGCACCUAGAAUUGGCCAAGCACGGCCACCACAGUCAGAAGCACAACAAGCGUCGGCCCUCGUCGUCAUCUCCAGCCAAUAAGGCUUCUGCGCUUGUGCAGGCCAUUAGGGAACAGCAGGUGGGCCAUGCGAGGGAGAUGCAUGUGCCCGCCUUGGACGGCGUAUCGCCACACAUGGAUGCCGCCCGGGCCUCCACUGAGGAGCACGUGGGAAUCAACUGUCGAGCAGCCCACGUCCCAGCGCCGCAUGACAUCACAGCAUUUCCUGUUGCAGCCGCGUCUGCAACGCCGUCACCUCAUUCAGCAAGGGGCACCGAAGUCGUGGAUAUGAGCCCUCACCCUAGUGUGGCUGCAGCCUCUCGCGAAUCAGGCGCGACCGUGAUGGUGGCCGCGGCGCACCCACCACUCUCUAACAAGCUGAAUACGCCGUCGCGUCGCUCAUCGAUGGCGCGGCUGCGACAGCAAGUCAAGGCGCAGCUGAAGGGCGUAGAAGUUGCUGAGCCUGCCGACGACACGUCACCGGCCUCGGCAUGCGACUCUGACGCCGUUGCUGCGGCGCUUCAAAACGGAGCAGCACAAGGAGGGGAGACGGAAGAGCAGCUGUCGCUUUACUCGCACCAGCCAGCAUUACCGAGCACUCUCCUCGCCUUCUCGACGUCGGCCGAGGUCGCAUCACUCAAGGGAAGCGGCACGGCCACAGAAGCACUCGCCAUGCCGGCGGUGCCCUCAGUCGGCGCCGCCAAAGUCCUGCCACACGGCCUGCGGUCCCCCAGCGCCAUCACAGACGUCGGUGCAGCACCGCUCGACUACUCAGGGCUGGGCACUGAGGAGAGUGAGCCCGUGAGCAAUGUCAGCCCGGCGCGAUAUUACUAUCAGCAGCAGCAGAAGAAGCGCUCUGCCUCGUUACUCAAGCAGCGAACCGACGGUGUUGCUUCGAGUCAAAUCGGAGGUGCGCUGCAGCCGAAAGCCCCGUUUCACGCGCUGCAGUUUGGGUCUUGCGCUCCAGCGAACCCUGUCGGGUCACCGCCACUGUUAUGCCGCAGCGAAGUGCCGCAUCGUCUGCACAGCCCGCACCAAUGCCACGGCCUCCGCGUCGACAGCGAAGAGAGCGCUGACGCGAACUUUCGACCGGGCAGCAGAGCGAGCAGAGAGUCUUGCGGCACUGUCACCCUACGCAGCCGGCCAGCACGCCCUACAAAGGCAGUUGCCGGCGGUCGCUCCUCCACCUCUUCGCCGGUGGUGAGUGACUGCGAGCUGCCGUCGCUGAUCGUGUGCCCCUUCGCCUUCACGGGCUGCUGCGCCGAGGGCGCCCACAGGAGCGCCGACCUGCACAAAGGCACCACACUGCACCAUCACCUCAUAGCCGUUGCAGCGUGUGUGCAGCGGAUGCGCGUGCGCCAGCAGGAGCUCGAGCGGCUAGUGCGCGGGCUGCAGCAGCAGGUGCACACGCAGGCGCUGAUGCUUCGUGAGGCGAGAGAGAUGGAAAGGGCUCGGCAGCGCCCUGCUGCGAGCCGCAGCGAGCUGAUCAGCUCACGGGAGUCGUCGCUGGAUAGUUGUCUUUGCCUCGCACCCACGCCAGCCGGUGGAACCAACGCGCUGAAUGCGCACAAAGACCGCAAGGCGCUCCCGCGCGACGUGAGCAUUCGUGAGCCGCUUGUCACGGAAUACGGCACAGGCGACGGAGACGGUGACAGUGCUGGAAAGGACGCCAGCGAAAACUACGCCGGUAGCGACUCGCCCGGCCGACGCGCACAACCACCACACGGCAUUCAAAUGCAACGCGGUGGCAGCCACGGUGUUCGCAGAGGUGACGGCGACAGGGAUGGCGCCCGGCUGUACGCGCGUCAGCUGCGCAUGCGCAUCUCGGCAGGACAACAACGGCUGCAUAUGGUCGACGCUCCAUCAAGUACAAGCGUAUUGCUGACUCCUGUGCGGCGCGGGCUGCGUUCAUUGGCGAGUGCUGUGACGGCGGCCGCAGUCCAAAAGACCACCGUUGCAGAGGUGCAGGGGCUCGGCGAGAAGAUGCGACGUGCAACGGCAGUGCAGCAGAAGCAGCAAGAGCAACGGCAAGGUAGCGCAAACGGUGGCGAACAAGCACGAAGCUGUACUCCGCAGCCGAAUAAUCUGCACAGAGACGGUAUCGAGGAUUUCUCCAGUGUUUCAGGCGAUGGGCUAGGUGAUGAUGAUGAUAGUGUUCAAGGGAAGCGCUGUAUGACAACGUCAUCAGCGGCGCGACUCUCCGAUGCAGACAUCUGCACCGAAAGCGGCUGCUCACCGGCACGGCACGGCAGGUGUGUUGCGGCGCCCUGCGUGCAUUAUGGCGCCUACCCACGGCAGCAGCCCGGCGCGGGGGGCAGUACCGAGGUGAGCGGGAUGAGCAACGUACCGCCCUACCAACUUCCAAAUGAGUCUGUGAGCCCGAUUAGAAGCGCCUCCCUUGACCUCGACGACCACGAGGACGACACUGACGCUGGUGCCAUGCGUCAGCAGCUCUUGAACCUCACCUCGACGGAGAUCCCAGUGGCUACCAGCGCUGACGAGAGCUGUAUCACCGGCCGCACGGGCCAACCCGGUGCGCGUGCGAAGCGGAAGACAGGCCUGCAACUAUCCCCUGCCGCGUCGCCCCGCUCGGCGCCGUCGCUGGUUAGCGCGACCUACCGGCCGUCCGAACUCGCCUGUGCAGAGGGCAGCGAUGAUGAGGGUGCCGUGCAUUUGACGGGCCGAUUCUCACCGACAAUGGAAAGCGCAAGCGCGGUGCUCGCAGCGAAUCGGCAGGUGCGCACCGACGACGCAUCGAAGCCUCUCCUGGUCGACGGCGUGCGGCUUGCGGCUCCCCUCCAGAGGCCGACGCUAGUGCGCAAAUCAGACGUUGUGCCGUCGCCCCCAACUGCGCGUGAUGGCGCUGAUCGGAGCAAGACCGCGCUGCCACCUGUAACGCCGCCCUCCUUGACCACUCUAGCGGCUGCUUCGGUUGCCACCGCCGCCACCAGCAUUCUGAGCAAGUCGGUUGACAAGCGAUCACGGCAGAUGAGCGCGCCAGAAAGCGGCGGCACACGUAGGCCGCUCUCCGGCAUCAACUUCGACGCACCAUCAUCCGCACUGUCCGUGAGGGCAUCACUCCUAGUCGCAGCAGACAGCGGAGCCCCCAUCGUGAAUCACAGCAGUGUUCAUGCCUCGUACGACGGCAUUUCAGUGGCUACGCCUCUGCCGGAGUCGGUGUCGAAGCGAAACACGGUCUCGAAGAGCCACCUAGUGCAUGCCCACAGCUACCGCAUCGACAAGGACGCGACUGGCGAGCAUAGCGGUGUCUUGGCUGGUAGUGCAGAUUACGCGCUUGGCGGACCUGGAAAGCGCGGAGGGCGUCGAAGUGGAUCACAGACACGCCGUGGCGCAGUCAUACGCCGCCCGUUGCACGUGACAAGCGUUCUCUCCCCGCAGGAGGCCGCUGAUCAGGGGGUGGCGGUGCAUCCCGUGGGCCUCCCCCCAAGGCGAGAAUCAUAACCGCGGCAGAAUCUCAUGACAGGCGGGCAGGGAGGCUGUGGUGCCAGCAGCGGAUCCAUCGGUAGGUGGUUGCUCUAAGGGCGAGGCGGAGGUCCAUGUGAGGAGGCACAUUAAGGAAAAGCGAAAACAGGGCCUCGCUAUCGACAAGGCUGCCGAACUGAGAUUGCGCCAUGCGCACCCCUAGCACCUUCUGCCCUUGCCCUUGUGUGGAUGUGCGUAUCCAACGGUGUACACAACGUGCUUACUCCGCUAGCUGUUCUUUGUUCACUUUUUUUUCCGUCGCUGUUUCGCCACACGCCCCCACCCCCAACACCACCACCACUGCCAUCAUCAUAGCCUCCCUCUCUCCCUUCUUUUCACUUAGAUCCACUCACGAGCAUCGUGAGUUCGUAAACGCUCAUAGAUGCAUACAUGCACACACACACACACUACUGCCCAACCCCCAAGAACGCCGGAAUAUGAGGUCAUACUUAAAAGCGGUACGCCGGCUCUCGGAUCAUGCCUGAAGGGCGAUCGUUCUCGAGGCAGGAACGCCUCCCUCGUCCUCCCCAACCCCUCUCCUCUGAGACCUCUCGCUGGAUCCUUUCCAUGUGUACGCUUGCAAGACGUGUAUGGCCACACGUGCUCACUUUUAAACGUCUGCGAGCGCAGUAUCGCUGACUGAGAACGCGUUCUCUUCACGUAGACGC
rnacentral:misc_RNA from 1 species